GACGAACGCUGGCGGCGUGCUUAACACAUGCAAGUCGAACGGAAAGGCCUCUUUCGGGGGGUACUCGAGUGGCGAACGGGUGAGUAACACGUGAGUAACCUGCCCUUGACUUUGGGAUAACUUCAGGAAACUGGGGCUAAUACCGGAUAGGAGCUCCUGCUGCAUGGUGGAGGUUGGAAAGUUUCGGCGGUUGGGGAUGGACUCGCGGCUUAUCAGCUUGUUGGUGGGGUAGUGGCUUACCAAGGCUUUGACGGGUAGCCGGCCUGAGAGGGUGACCGGCCACAUUGGGACUGAGAUACGGCCCAGACUCCUACGGGAGGCAGCAGUGGGGAAUAUUGCACAAUGGGUGGAAGCCUGAUGCAGCAACGCCGUGUGCGGGAUGACGGCCUUCGGGUUGUAAACCGCUUUCGCUCAUGACGAAGCUUUGUGUGACGGUAGUGGGUAAAGAAGCACCGGCUAACUACGU
rnacentral:rRNA from 1 species